CAGUCGCCGCGGGAAUACGUAGGUCCCGAGCGUUGUCCGGAUUUAUUGGGCGUAAAGCGAGCGCAGGCGGUUAGAUAAGUCUGAAGUUACAGGCUGCGGCUUAACCAUAGUACGCUUUGGAAACUGUUUAACUUGAGUGCAAGAGGGGAGAGUGGAAUUCCAUGUGUAGCGGUGAAAUGCGUAGAUAUAUGGAGGAACACCGGUGGCGAAAGCGGCUCUCUGGCUUGUAACUGACGCUGAGGCUCGAAAGCGUGGGGCGCAAACAGGAUUAGAGACCCCCGUAGUCCCUGUCUCUUAUACA
rnacentral:rRNA from 1 species